AGUGAACGCUGGCGGUAGGCCCAACACAUGCAAGUCGAACGGCAGCACAGGAGAGCUUGCUCUCUGGGUGGCGAGUGGCGGACGGGUGAGGAAUACAUCGGAAUCUACUCUGUCGUGGGGGAUAACGUAGGGAAACUUACGCUAAUACCGCAUACGACCUACGGGUGAAAGCAGGGGACCUUCGGGCCUUGCGCGAUUGACUGAGCCGAUGUCGGAUUAGCUAGUUGGCGGGGUAAAGGCCCACCAAGGCGACGAUCCGUAGCUGGUCUGAGAGGAUGAUCAGCCACACUGGAACUGAGACACGGUCCAGACUCCUACGGGAGGCAGCAGUGGGGAAUAUUGGACAAUGGGCGCAAGCCUGAUCCAGCCAUACCGCGUGGGUGAAGAAGGCCCUCGGGUUGUAAAGCCCUUUUGUUGGGAAAGAAAUCCAGCUGGCUAAUACCCGGUUGGGAUGACGGUACCCAAAGAAUAAGCACCGGCUAACUUCGUGCCAGCCGCCGCGGUAA
rnacentral:rRNA from 1 species